rnacentral:rRNA from 1 species
AACGAACGCUGGCGGCGUGGAUAAGACAUGCAAGUCGAACGGGAACUUCAGCUGUAGCAAUACAGUUGAAGUUUUAGUGGCGAACGGGUGCGUAACACGUGGGCAAUCUGCCGAGAAGUGGGGGAUAGCUCGCCGAAAGGCGAAUUAAUACCGCAUAUGAUCAGCUAAGACAUCUUAGCGACAUCAAAGCCGGGGCAACCUGGCGCUUUUUGAGGAGCCCGCGGCCUAUCAGCUAGUUGGUGAGGUAACGGCUCACCAAGGCUAUGACGGGUAGCUGGUCUGAGAGGACGACCAGUCACACUGGAACUGAGACACGGUCCAGACACCUACGGGUGGCAGCAGUCGAGAAUUUUUCUCAAUGGGGGCAACCCUGAAGGAGCGACGCCGCGUGGAGGAUGAAGGC